rnacentral:rRNA from 1 species
AUGUCAGGGGAGCUGCCAUCAGCUCUGAGCAACUGCACAAAUCUCAUAACAGUUGACCUCAAGGCAAACCAAUUCAGCGGAGAACUUACCAAAGUCAACUUUGUAAGCCUGUCCAAGCUAAGAAAAUUAGAUCUUCUUUUCAACGACUUCACUGGCACAAUUCCGGAAAGCAUAUACUCCUGCAGCAAGCUGACUGCACUAAGGCUAUCUUACAAUCAUUUCCAUGGCCAAUUGUCAGAAAAGAUAGGCAAUCUGAAGUCUCUCUGCUUUCUAUCACUUGUUAACCUAUCCCUUACAAAUAUCACGAGAACACUUCAGAUCCUUGAGAGUUCCAGGAGCCUCACCACCCUUUUUAUUGGGUUCAACUUCCUGCAUGAGACCAUGCCAGAGGAUGACAGCAUUGAUGGUUUUGAGAAUCUUCAAGUUCUUUCUAUGAGUUAUUGUUCAAUGUCUGGGACAAUACCUGAUUGGUUAUCAAAGCUCACAAAUUUGGGGAUGUUAUUUUUGCAAGGCAAUCAACUAACUGGACCAAUACCUGACUGGAUUAGCACCCUAAACUUUCUCUUCCAUCUAGACAUAUCAAACAACAGUUUUACAGGGGAAAUUUCAACUGCCUUAGCGGAGAUGCCAAUGCUAAAAUCAUAUAAGAUUGCAGCAAAGGCCAUCUUUGAGCUGCCUGUUUAUGCUUUCAGUCCAUUUAUCCAAUACCUCCAACCCGGUGCUUGUCCGGAAGUGCUUAAUCUAGCCAUCAAUAAAUUGACUGGUGUGAUCCCAGGGGAGAUCGGUCAACUAAGAGCACUCUUUUCACUUAAUUUGAGCUCCAACAAAUUAUCAGGAGAGAUCCCAGAACCAAUCUGCACCCUCACGAAUCUGCAGAUGCUCGACUUGUCCAGCAAUCAUCUUACUGGUACAAUUCCGGCCGCACUAAACAAUCUGCACUUUCUUUCCAAAUUCAACAUUUCUAAUAAUGACCUCGAAGGCCCUAUUCCAACUGCGGGCCAGCUUAGCACGUUUCCAGAUUCUAGCUUUGAUGGAAACCCAAAAUUGUGUGGUCCUAUGAUUGUAAACCAUUGUGAUUCAGCAGAAGCGGGUCCAGAGUCCAUCAACACCAGCAAAGAGAUUGGCAGUAAAGUCAUCUUUGCAAUCGCCUUUGGUGCUUUCUUUGCAGUAGGAGUCCUAUAUGAUCAGAUGAUCUUAGCCAGAUAUUUUGGCUAA